rnacentral:scRNA from 1 species
AGAGCCUGAGCCUGACCCAAAGUAAAUUCCCAGGAGACAUCUUUCCUGGGUUUUGAAUUUGCUGAAACAGGCAUGAGCAUUUUCGCAGCAGUUUGGUGAUCACGCAUGAUACUGCAAACAGGA